rnacentral:rRNA from 1 species
AAUAGAUACCCAGGUAGUCCACGCCGUAAACGAUGAGUGCUAAGUGUUAGAGGGUUUCCGCCCUUUAGUGCUGCAGCUAACGCAUUAAGCACUCCGCCUGGGGAGUACGGCCGCAAGGCUGAAACUCAAAGGAAUUGACGGGGGCCCGCACAAGCGGUGGAGCAUGUGGUUUAAUUCGAAGCAACGCGAAGAACCUUACCAGGUCUCGACAUCCUCUGCCAACCCUAGAGAUAGGGCGUUCCCCUUCGGGGGACAGAGUGACAGGUGGUGCAUGGUUGUCGUCAGCUCGUGUCGUGAGAUGUUGGGUUAAGUCCCGCAACGAGCGCAACCCUUGAUCUUAGUUGCCAGCAUUCAGUUGGGCACUCUAAGGUGACUGCCGGUGACAAACCGGAGGAAGGUGGGGAUGACGUCAAAUCAUCAUGCCCCUUAUGACCUGGGCUACACACGUGCUACAAUGGAUGGUACAAAGAGCUGCGAACCCGCGAGGGUAAGCCAAUCUCAUAAAGCCAUUCUCAGUUCGGAUUGU